rnacentral:rRNA from 1 species
AUGGCUUUGGAAGAAAUCGCUACUACAAGUGGCAUGAUAAAACUUGAUUUUUCCAAUUACUCAUUAUGGAAGCCCAUGAUGGAAGACAUCCUUUAUUGCAAGGAUUUGUAUGAGCCAAUUGUGAAAGACAAGAUACCCACAGGUGUCACGGAAGAAGAAUGGAGAGUGUUGCACAGAAAUGCAGUAGGUAUGAUUCGGUUGUACAUCAACCACAAUAUUUUCCACCAUGUUGCAAAUGACACAAAUGCUUUUGAGAUGUGGCAGAAGUUGGAGUCUAUGUAUGAGAGGAAGACAUCAAUGAACAAAGCCUCGGUGAUCAAAAGACUUGCAAAGCUUGAGUACCGAGAUGGCACAAGUGUGAUUGAGCACUUAAAUGUCUUCCAAUGCCAUAUAAAUCAACUUUCAGCCAUGAAGAUCAACUUUGAGGAUGAGGUGCAAGCAUUGUUGUUGCUGAGUUCCAUGCCUGAUAGUUGGAACACGCUUGUUGUGUCACUUAGCAAUUCAGCUCCGGAUGGGAAGCUGACUUUGGAGAUGGUGAAGAACAGUAUGCUGAAUGAAGAAGCCAGAAAGAAGGAAAAGGGUGAUGCCUCUUCUUUGGAUGCGUAUGUGGCUGAAACCCAUGGAAAGAAUGAGAACUGUGGACGCAACAAUACAAGAUUUCAGCAAGGCAAAAGCAAAUCCAGGGGGAGAUCAAAGUCAAAACAGAGAAAAGAUAUUACUUGCUUUCAUUGUGGCAAUCCGGGACACAUAAAGAGCGAGUGCAGGAAGUACAAAAGAGAGCUUGCAGAGGGGAAACUCACAAAGAAAACCGAGCAAAAGGCUGAGAGCAGUUCAGCCAUGACCGCAACAGAUGAGGACUAUCUAGUCAUUGAAGAUGAAGAUUGCUAUAGUGUUGUUCGUGAUGAUGCCAUGAGUUGGGUUGUGGAUUCAGGUGCGUCCUUCCACAUCACAUCACACAAGGAGUAUUUCACAUCUUACACUAGUGGUGUUGCUGGCCAAGUGAGGAUGGGAAAUAGUGGUUUGUUAGCAAUUGUUGGCAAGGGCUCUAUAUGCAUUGAAACAAACACAGGUUGCAGAUUGGUGCGCGAUGAUGUGAGACAUGUUCCCAACAUAAGGCUGAAUUUGUUGUUAGUGGGCAAGCUUGAUGAUAUCAAACAUCCUAGUUAUUUUGGUGAAGGAAAGUGGAAGCUCACCAAAGGCUCUAUGAUUGUGGCUCGAGGAAGUAAGCAAGGUAAUCUCUAUGUGACUAAAACCAAGUUGUGCAAUGAGGUGUUGAACAUUGUUGAAAAAGACACUUCGGUUUAA